rnacentral:rRNA from 1 species
AUACGAGGGGUGCAAGCGUUGUUCGGAAUUACUGGGCGUAAAGGGAGCGUAGGCGGAGAUUCAAGCGGAUUGUACAAUCCCGGGGCCCAACCCCGGCUCUGCAGUCCGAACUGGAUCUCUUGGAUAGUUCAGGGGCAGGCGGAAUUCCUGGUGGAGAGGGGGAAUGCGUAGAGAUCAGGAAGAACACCGAUGGCGAAGGCAGCCUGCUGGGGACUUAUCGACGCUGAGGCUCGAAAGUGCGGGUAGCAAACAGGAUUAGAUACCCUGGUAGUCCGCACCGUAAACGAUGCAUACUGGGUGUCCGGGGGUUCCCCCGGGUACCGUAGCCAACGCGUUAAGUAUGCCGCCUGGGGAGUACGUACGCAAGUAUGAAACUCAAAGGAAUUGACGGGG